rnacentral:rRNA from 1 species
GUUGUAUGGUUAAGUGACUAAGCGUACACGGUGGAUGCCUAGGCAGUUGGAGGCGAUGAAGGACGUACUAACUUGCGAUAAGCCAUGAUGAGCUAGUAAGAAGCAUUUGAAUCAUGGAUUUCCGAAUGGGGAAACCCACUCUGUUUACAGAGUAUCUUGCACUGAAUACAUAGGUGUAAGAAGCGAACCCGGAGAACUGAAACAUCUAAGUACCCGGAGGAAAAGAAAUCAAUUGAGAUUCCGUUAGUAGCGGCGAGCGAACGCGGAUUAGCCCUUAAGUUUAUUAAGGUUUAGUGGAAGGCUCUGGAAAGUGCCGCGAUACAGGGUGAUAGCCCCGUACACGAAAAACCUUAGUAAGUGAAAACGAGUAGGUCGGGACACGUGUUAUCUUGACUGAAUAUGGGGGGACCAUCCUCCAAGGCUAAAUACUCCCAACUGACCGAUAGUGAACCAGUACCGUGAGGGAAAGGCGAAAAGAACCCCUGUGAGGGGAGUGAAAUAGAACCUGAAACCGUGUACGUACAAGCAGUAGGAGCACC